AUAGGUUCAUAUGGGAGUCUGUGUACAGUCUGAGAGGAAGUGUAAGCUUCGACCGCACCUGAUCUAGGUAAUGCUAGCGUAGGAACGAUAAGAUAAGACUAAUU
rnacentral:ncRNA from 1 species